rnacentral:piRNA from 1 species
UAUCAUUUUCAUACUUUGUUU